GGGCUUUAACAGAAUAAGUGUCAGUACUGAUGUGCUUUAACAUGGACUACUGCAGCAAAACUGAAAAGUGAAAGAAGAAAACAGCAAAGUUAGUUGACAUUUAUAUGGCAGCGGAAGAGCGGUUUGACAACAUGGUGUCUGACAUGUAAGUGGGUAUGAAGCAAAGGUGUUUGUUGAUGUGAUCUGCUCUUGGAUGUCUGGGAAUGCUGCCUUGGUUGAACAGUGCUUCCACACAUCCCAAACUGCAGCACUUCUUUCCCUGUAACAAGUAGGUAAUCAACAACCACUGCCACAAAUAUGGUGAUAGUCUGCUGGUUACUAUACGUGGAGGCAUUAAAGCCAAACACUAUACGUGAAGGCUAAAGCUAAAGAGUGGUAGGGUUGCUGUUUGAAACUGGAGUUUCAAUUCCCUGUGAGAAUUUGUUAGUUGAUACUUCAUAUCUUUGUAACUUUCAGGAAGUUCUGAAAUCUUUAUUUCACUAUGAAAAUCCCAGCAAUCUGUUAUAGGUGGCAUUACUUAAGUAGGUGGUUUAGAUCAGGUGAUCUCCAGGAGACCCUUCCAGCCUCAAUCAUUCUUUGAUGCUCUGAUUUUUUUCUUGCCAAUUAGCUCUCUAGAAAUGUACUGGGAGUCAGCAGAUGUCACGACCCAAUCAUAUCAGAGUUGUGGAGGUUUUGAAAUUCCCUCAGGUUAAAUUAAGGUGAAACAACAACAAACAACCAGUUAAAUGCUUAUUUAUUUCCCACUACGAUAUUUAGCACAAGAUGCUGAGUAUAUACAUAUAUAUAUAUAUGUACAUAUCUGUACCUUACUGGCAAUAAGCUAUGAUUGUGUUACUUCUAAUAAAACUUGACAAGAGAAAAAUAAAAAGGGAGAGGUGGGGGGAAGGAUUACAAUGACUCUUUCCUCCAAUUGAGUUGGGAGUCGUGGAGACCCUGUUACUUAUCACGUAGGUCAUGUCGGUAUCUCUUGCAACUGGGAAAUUUGAGUGUGGGAAGGGGAAAGGAGUAGGGACAUCCAUCCUCCAAUGAACUCUCCACCCUCUUUGGCAAGCACUUUUGGUUCCCAAAUUCCAGCUGCAAACUAAGCGCACAGUUUCUGUUCCUUCUUUGUUGUUAAGCAGUGCGCCAGUGGUUGAGACAUUGAAACUUUUUUAGACUGUCCACAGGACUUUACAGUGGGAUAAGUUCUGUUAAGCUUUGUUAAUUCAUUGUGACACUUACUCAUUGCCGAUAUCAUCAGCACAAUUGCCAGGCAGAUCUCCCACUGGGGAGAAGUCUCUUCCUUCCUAAUAUAGCUGCUGCAGGGGUAGAAGAUCUGGCCGACCAGUUUACAUCUACAUACGAGACAUGCAGAGAAACAGUUGCAAAAUGUCUAUCUUCCCUCAACAAGUGAGAAGAGGAGCUCUAAGCAUUAAAGAGGGCCUGUAUUAUCACAGGAAGCAACCAUCAACAUUGUCCAGAGAUUUCGAUAAAAAGCCCAUGCUUCUGCACAAAGAUUGUCUCAUGAAUCAGAGGAUCAUGUCCUUUGCAUGUAUGAUAUGGUUCUUAGAACAGUUAUAUAGGUAAGGCAUUUGCAUGGUGGGAAACUUCUUUAAUGGCAAAAGUCUCUGUAUGCCAGCAGAUACCAGGCUUCAAGAGUUUUAUUAAAUUAAUAAGCUUUAACAUUGUUGAAAGAUUCUGAAAAGUAAUUGUAAUCAUAACAUAAUUUUGGUUUAAAUUUUCAAGCCUUCUAUUUUCUACUGUAUUCAUGACAGAACUAAAUUGGCAACAAAUCAAAUAAAUGAUGUUAGAAUUAUUAAUAUAAAUCUAGAAACCUGAACAAAUUACACUGAACAUUCUGGUGCUGAGUUAGUUUUCUCACCCAUCAGCAAAAAGAAAACAGGAUUUGACUAUAGGGAUAAGAAGAAAAAAAGACAAUGAGGAGAGGAACCACACAUCAUGAGAUGCCCAACUGGACCUUCCUUUAAGGAGAUUGAGAGCUAUUCUAAGAGCUAUUUACAGACCUCUACUCUGGUUUUCUUAAUAAAGACACUGACCACCUUGCUUUCCAGUUCCUGCCCAGUUUGGGAUUAUUAAAUCACAAAAGUAUGUCCUUCUCCUGCUGGUAGCCACAGCGGUCGGCUCUUCUCCUGGUCACUUCCCUGCCUCAAGCUGCUGCUCUAGUGGCUGCUCUAGCCAGCUGUCCUACUCCUGCUCCUGCCUCUUGCUAUAGCAGCCCCAGUACUGCUGCCUCAUCUGGAUGACAGUUGUCACUCUGCUAUCAAUGUCUCCCACUUCAGCAAAGAGUAUGUGGCUGUGCAUGUGCACGUUUGUACUCAAGUACACUCCUGCUUUUUCAACUUGGAUUCUCAUCUAGCAGUAGCCCCUUAAAGUCUGCUAUGCAUUUUCUUUUGACUUCUGUGCUUUACUUCUGUAAAACCUACUGAGAUCUUUUACUAUCAGCAUUCUUAACUCAAGCACUUAAUCCAUACCAUUACAUGGUUAUCUGUUUCCUCCAUUAUGUGGAUGGUUACUCUACUCUACUCAAGUAGAAAGCCUUCUGAAUGAAUAAACGCUUACGUGCAAAUUAAACUUGUACUUCUGUACCUUGUUCCUUUCUACCUGUCUUAUUCUCUCCACCAAAUAUCAAUGGAGAGCUCUUCAUCUCAGAACUUCCAUCUCCCACACAGGAGCCAGGGAGCUGCUCUCUCAAUCACGUCCUGGUGCCAAAGCCCAUAUCUGUUUGACAGAACAAAAAGUGGUCUUGUCAUAUGCUAGGGAUGUAUUCUCUGUUCUCUUCAGUACACUGCUAAUUGUUAAAAACCUUGAAGAAAAUUGUAAUAAUUCAGAUGUAAGUUUUGCUCAUAUUACUGUUCUCAGAGAGAGCAAAAAAGUAAAAUUUCAAGGGAAAGGGGUGUUUGGGAUAAAAAACUGCGAUUUUCAAGACCCAUGUUUCUGAAAAAUGUAUUUCUUCUGUCAGAGUUCUAGGACUUAAGAUGAAAGAUCGUUACUAACUAGGAUAAGUGCCUUUUUAUAUAAAGAAAUGUUUUUAGAGUAACUAGAAGAUAACAGCAAAAAUAAAACAGGAGUGUACCUAUUGACUUAAGUUGUAUAGCUUGCUCAUGGGAAAGGGCUCCUUUAGUCUGUGAAACCUACAUUUCAUGUUUCUAUAGCAGAAUCAGAGGACAGAAAAGAAGAAACUAGGAGCAGCAGAAGAGUCAAGAAUCCUACAGUCACAUCUUGGGUUGAAAGGGACCUUAAAACCCAUCUAGUUCCAACCCAUUGCUAUGGGCAGGGUUGCCUCCCUCUAGAUCAGGUUGCCCAGGGUCUAGUUCAAUCUGGCCUUGAGCACCUCCAAGGAUGAGGCAUCCUCAGCUUCUCUGGGUAGCCUGUGCCAGUGCCUCACCACCCUUACCACGAAGGAUUUCUUCCUUAUAUCUAAUCUAAAUAUACCCUUUCAGUGUAAAACCAUUACCCCUUGUCCUAUCACUACAUCAUGGUUGUCAGGGUAUUCAUAAUUGUGGAAAAGCCUCUUCCUGAAUUAAUUUCUCCAUAUGCUCCAUCCACAAUAUACAGGAAGGCGCUUGAUUUAAGCUUUGGGAAGGGAGGCUGGUAUGCCAGUGCUAGGGGUGAAAUAAAGCAUGGUGUACAGGAUCAACACUACCCCUGUCUGGUUCUUCUUAAAAAGUCUAUAUUUAUCCUAGCUUCUCUCAAUUUUACCAAGUUCAUUGGCUCCUAUAAAAUGCUGAGUCUGCAAGAGACACUGUCAAGUUCCAGUUACUUUUAUAGUCUGAGGUGAGUUUGGUUGUUAUUUGUUAUUAGUUUUUGUUUUUGUUUUUAAUUUGUAGGCCUUUUCUCAUUAACCUUCUUGUUUUUCAUUGCACAAUUUAGAUGGGGGUUUCCACUGAGAGAGUAUACGAAGAUGAAAGAGGAAGAAUUGCUAUGGGAAGAGGUUUUAUUAAAAAUACAGCUGAAGGUUUUUUCAUCAUAUCUUUGAGUAAACAUUAGUGGGAUAGUGACAGAAGAUGUGUCACUGGAUUUAUUUACUGUAAGACAGUUCUGCCGAGUAAAGUACCAUAUGAAAGCAGCAUGUGUUUUUUUAAUAUAAUGUAAAGAGUAACUUAUUACAGUGACUUUAUUUUCUUCUUGUUUGAUGGAUUGUUGCCAUUUAUUACCACCGAGUAAUGAAACCUAUACUGUGUUUUACACGACAGUAGAAUGUCUUGGGCAGCAUUAAUCAGCCUCACGAAGUGUUCAAGAGAAAUAAUGAAAGAAAGAACUGGCAUGCAAGGCAAGUGCCUUCCAGUUUGUCUCCUGCAACCUUCCUUCCUCUGAAACAUUCAUCAUCUUCCUCUUAGUUUGCCAGGAUCUAAAAUCAGGCAGAUAUUUUCUUAUUAAUAUUGAGGCAGGGCACUGAGAGCUGCCAUCACAUCUUUCUUUAGCUGAGAGAAAAUUACCUCAGCUUAAGCUCAACUACCUCCUGCUAUUUGUAAGUCUAGGGCUUCACAAGCUGCGUUACUUGGCUUGUAUGCUAUGUGCACCUUGAUGAUUCUCCAUGUUUUAUCAUAACUGAUUGUAUACAUAUUCUUAAAGCACGAGAGAGUCUGCAGGCUGGGAUAGAAUCUCAGUCCCAAAUGGAUCAGAAUCUAGGAGGUAAGAGGUGUGCUAUUGUAUCUAAAGGGAUAAGAGACAGCCAAGAAAUACAAGAUACAAAAACAAGGCUACCAAGGAGCUGAGUUCAUGGAGCAAUGAAUGUAUUUACUGAGGACUUCACAUCCUUUUGGAUAGAAUAUCCGGGGACUGGUUGUCAGCAUACAAGAUGAAUCAAAAUGUGAAUCCUUUCAAGAGUUUGCAUAGAAACCAUGGAAUCUAAUGAGUCAGAAAUAGAGAUGCUCAAGGCACUCGAUUUUGUACUGUCAGAUCUUUUCUUUCUCAGAACUCUCAAGAGUUUUUGUUAUCUAUCAGUUCAACAUAAGGAACGUUUUUACUGCUAAGGAACAGGUAAAGCAAUUUGCUGGCAGAGGCUUUGCCUCUUGUUCUGUCCAGAUAAUGCCAGGGCAUAGAUCACUCUGAGCAAUUACAAUCAUCAGUAACAGAAUUUAGAAAUCACACUUUUGCUGUUAAACACUUGCCAUUACAUUAUAUGACUUCUACAAUGCAGAUCUUUCAUUUGGUACAACAUCAACAUCUUCCUCCUUAGCUAUGACUCCUGCCCUUUCCUCGUCAGUCUGGUUCACCAAAUUGCUAGUUGAUGAACAAAUACUCUGUGCAUGACAACAGAAGGUUAUGCCUUACUGUGUGUUCAUUACAGCCCUUAACCAGUAGCUGAAAGCGUAGUAAAAAAGAUAUCAAGAAAUUUUGUUUUCUGACGGACAUUUUUAUUUUGAUGGGGGGUG
rnacentral:lncRNA from 1 species